ACGGAGGGUGCAAGCGUUAUCCGGAUCACUGGGUUUAAAGGGUGCGUAGGCGGCACAAUAAGUCAGAAGUGAAGAGGCAGCUUAACUAUGGAAUUGCUUUUGAUACUGUUGAGCUUGAAUUGGGUUGAGGUUAGCGGAAUGAGUCAUGUAGCGGUGAAAUGCAUAGAUAUGACUUAGAACACCAAUUGCGAAGGCAGCUAACUGGGCCUUGAUUGACGCUGAGGCACGAAAGCGUGGGGAGCGAACAGGAUUAGAUACCCCGUGUCAUCC
rnacentral:rRNA from 1 species